rnacentral:rRNA from 1 species
UACGUAGGGUGCGAGCGUUAAUCGGAAUUACUGGGCGUAAAGCGUGCGCAGGCGGUUAUGUAAGACAGGUGUGAAAUCCCCGGGCUUAACCUGGGAACUGCAUUUGUGACUGCAUAGCUGGAGUGCGGCAGAGGGGGAUGGAAUUCCGCGUGUAGCAGUGAAAUGCGUAGAUAUGCGGAGGAACACCGAUGGCGAAGGCAAUCCCCUGGGCCUGCACUGACGCUCAUGCACGAAAGCGUGGGGAGCAAACAGG